rnacentral:misc_RNA from 1 species
GAUGAAGAACGCAGCGAAAUGCGAUAAGUAAUGUGAAUUGCAGAAUUCAGUGAAUCAUCGAAUCUUUGAACGCACAUUGCGCCCGUCAGUAUUCUGGCGGGCAUGCCUGUUCGAGCGUCAUUACGCCCCUCAAGUCCCCUGUGGACUUGGUGUUGGGGAUCGGCCAGCGCCCUCGCGGGCGAGGCCGUCCCCUAAAUCUAGUGGCGGACCCGUCGUGGCCUCCCCUGCGAAGUAGUGAUAUUCCGCAUAGGAGAGCGACGAGCCCCUGCCGUUAAACCCCCAACUUUCUCAGGUUGACCUCAGAUCAGGUAGGAAUACCCGCUGAACUUAAGCAUAUCAAUAAGCGGAGGA